rnacentral:rRNA from 1 species
GACGAAGGGGGGCUAGCGUUGUUCGGAUUACUGGGCGUAAAGCGAGUGUAGGUGGUUGUCCAAGUUGGAUGUGAAAGCCUUGAGCUCAACUCAAGAAAUGCAUUCAGGACUGGGCGGCUAGAGGACCGGAGAGGAUAGUGGAAUUCCCAGUGUAGUGGUGAAAUACGUAGAGAUUGGGAAGAACACCAGUGGCGAAGGCGGCUAUCUGGACGGUUUCUGACACUAAGACUCGAAAGCGUGGGGAGCAAACAGG